GACGAACGCUGGCGGCGUGCUUAACACAUGCAAGUCGAACGGAAAGGCCCUGCUUUUGUGGGGUGCUCGAGUGGCGAACGGGUGAGUAACACGUGAGUAACCUGCCCUUGACUUUGGGAUAACUUCAGGAAACUGGGGCUAAUACCGGAUAGGAGCUCCUGCUGCAUGGUGGGGGUUGGAAAGUUUCGGCGGUUGGGGAUGGACUCGCGGCUUAUCAGCUUGUUGGUGGGGUAGUGGCUUACCAAGGCUUUGACGGGUAGCCGGCCUGAGAGGGUGACCGGCCACAUUGGGACUGAGAUACGGCCCAGACGCAUACGGGAGGCAGCAGUGGGGAAUAUGGCACAAGGGGCGGAAGCCUGAUGCAGCAACGCCGCGUGCGGGAGGACGGCCUUCGGGUGGGAAACCGCUUUCGCCUGUGACGAAGCGUGAGGGACGGUAAUGGGUAAAGAAGCACCGGCGAACUACGG
rnacentral:rRNA from 1 species